AGCGGCGGACGGGUGAGUAAUGCCUAGGAAUCUGCCUGGUAGUGGGGGACAACGUUUCGAAAGGAACGCUAAUACCGCAUACGUCCUACGGGAGAAAGCAGGGGACCUUCGGGCCUUGCGCUAUCAGAUGAGCCUAGGUCGGAUUAGCUUGUUGGUGAGGUAAUGGCUCACCAAGGCGACGAUCCGUAACUGGUCUGAGAGGAUGAUCAGUCACACUGGAACUGAGACACGGUCCAGACUCCUACGGGAGGCAGCAGUGGGGAAUAUUGGACAAUGGGCGAAAGCCUGAUCCAGCCAUGCCGCGUGUGUGAAGAAGGUCUUCGGAUUGUAAAGCACUUUAAGUUGGGAGGAAGGGUUGUAGAUUAAUACUCUGCAAUUUUGACGUUACCGACAGAAUAAGCACCGGCUAACUCUGUGCCAGCAGCCGCGGUAAUACAGAGGGUGCAAGCGUUAAUCGGAAUUACUGGGCGUAAAGCGCGCGUAGGUGGUUUGUUAAGUUGGAUGUGAAAGCCCCGGGCUCAACCUGGGAACUGCAUCCAAAACUGGCAAGCUAGAGUACGGUA
rnacentral:rRNA from 1 species